rnacentral:rRNA from 1 species
CCUACGGGAGGCAGCAGUGGGGAAUAUUGCACAAUGGGGGAAACCCUGAUGCAGCGACGUCGCGUGAGUGAUGAAGUAUUUCGGUAUGUAAAGCUCUAUCAGCAGGGAAGAAAAUGACGGUACCUGACUAAGAAGCCCCGGCUAACUACGUGCCAGCAGCCGCGGUAAUACGUAGGGGGCAAGCGUUAUCCGGAUUUACUGGGUGUAAAGGGAGCGUAGACGGCGGUGCAAGCCAGGUGUGAAAGCCCGGGGCACAACCCCGGGACUGCAUUUGGAACUGUGCUGCUAGAGUGUCGGAGAGGCAGGCGGAAUUCCUAGUGUAGAGGUGAAAUGCGUAGAUAUUAGGAGGAACACCAGUGGCGAAGGCGGCCUGCUGGACGAUGACUGACGUUGGGGCUCGAAAGCGUGGGGAGCAAACAGGAUUAGAUACACCUGUAGUC